rnacentral:tRNA from 1 species
GGGUACUUAGCUCAGUCGGUAGAGCAUCUGACUUUUAAUCAGAGGGUCACAGGUUCGAUUCCUGUAGUACCCACCA